CCGAUCUCUACUUUAACUGAGAGACUGCGUGAAGGUCGCUCCAGCCUUUUGUCCUUGAAGGCCACCGUCACGUCUCUGAUGAAAGCGGUGAGCACAGGUUCACGUGUCUUAUCAAGAAGUUUUUCAGCCGAGUCAGCGUUCAUGACUCAGCGAGUCUCGGUCUGAGGAUCCCGUGACACAGAGGGGUAAGGCGUGAGUCAUCAUGAGGUCAUCGUGAUCUCACUUCCUGCCCUUGUUCUCUCAGACCUCAGGUGAACUCAGGUGUGAGCUGGGUCCACAUGUAGAGGCAGGUCUGCCCCCUGAGGAGAUGCUCUCCUGUUGCAUCAUGGGAUGUUCCCACUCCAGCCCACCUGUCUGAGGGAUGUCCUAACCUAAGCCCUUCAAAAUAAAAGCCCC